GCCGGAUAUGGUGGUGCAUGCCUUUAAUCCCAGCACUUGGGAGGCAGAGGCAGGAGGAUUUCUGAGUUUAAGGCCAACCUGGGCUACAAAGUGAGUUCCAGGACAGCCAGGGCUACACAGAGAAACCCUGUCUCGAAAAACAAAACAAAACAAAACAAAAAAAACAAAAAAACAAAAAAAAAAGAAAGGGUUUCUCUGUGUAGCCUGGGCUGUCCUGUCCUGGAACUCACUAUGUAGAUCAGGCUGGCCUCAAACUCAGAGAGAUCCACCUGCCUC
rnacentral:lncRNA from 1 species